CGAACGGACUUGCAACGAUAGGUUAUGACGACGAAGGAGUGCCGGGACAAAAAUGGCAUCUGAUCAAAGACGGCAUGUUUAUUGACUGGCAGACGACUCGGGAUCUCGCGCUGAUGUCGCCACGAAAGAAGUCGUAUGGCUGCCUGCAUGGGGAUAGUUGGGGCAGCAUUUCAUUUCCGCGCAUGCCAAAUGUCUCGCUGGAACCGGCGCAGGAAAACCGCAGCAUGGAUGAGUUGGUGGCGGGAGUCGAAAACGGGAUUUUGAUCUACGGCAACGGCAGCUACUCAAUUGACCAGCAGCGUUACAACUUCCAAUUCGGCGGCCAAACGUUCUGGGAAAUCAAAAACGGAAAAGUUGGUCAGAUGCUGCGCGACGUC
rnacentral:misc_RNA from 1 species